AUUGAACGCUGGCGGCAUGCUUUACACAUGCAAGUCGAACGGUAACAGCACUUCGGUGGCUGACGAGUGGCGAACGGGUGAGUAAUACAUCGGAACGUGCCUAGUAGUGGGGGAUAACUACUCGAAGGAGUAGCUAAUACCGCAUGAGAUCUAAGGAUGAAAGCAGGGGACCUUCGGGCCUUGCGCUACUAGAGCGGCUGAUGGCAGAUUAGGUAGUUGGUGGGAUAAAAGCUUACCAAGCCGACGAUCUGUAGCUGGUCUGAGAGGACGACCAGCCACACUGGGACUGAGACACGGCCCAGACUCCUACGGGAGGCAGCAGUGGGGAAUUUUGGACAAUGGGCGCAAGCCUGAUCCAGCAAUGCCGCGUGCAGGAUGAAGGCCUUCGGGUUGUAAACUGCUUUUGUACGGAACGAAAAGCCCUCUUCUAAUACAGGAGGGUCAUGACGGUACCGGAAGAAUAAGCACCGGCUAACUACGUG
rnacentral:rRNA from 1 species